AUUGAACGCUGGCGGCAGGCCUAACACAUGCAAGUCGAGCGGAUGACGGGAGCUUGCUCCUUGAUUCAGCGGCGGACGGGUGAGUAAUGCCUAGGAAUCUGCCUGGUAGUGGGGGACAACGUUUCGAAAGGAACGCUAAUACCGCGUACGUCCUACGAGAGAAAGCAGGGGACCUUCGGGCCUUGCGCUAUCAGAUGAGCCUAGGUCGGAUUAGCCAGUUGGUGGGGUAAUGGCUCACCAAGGCGACGAUCCGUAACUGGUCUGAGAGGACGAUCAGUCACACUGGAACUGAGACACGGUCCAGACUCCUACGGGAGGCAGCAGUGGGGAAUAUUGGACAAUGGGCGAAAGCCUGAUCCAGCCAUGCCGCGUGUGUGAAGAAGGGCUUCGGAUUGUAAAGCACUUUAAGUUGGGAGGAAGGGCAGUAAGUUAAUACCUUGCUGUUUUGACGUUACCGACAGAAUAAGCACCGGCUAACUCUGUGCCAGCCGCCGCCGUAA
rnacentral:rRNA from 1 species